UAACACAUGCUAAAUUUCCUUACGUCACUCAGCUAGCAGGGCAAAAGCGUCCCAGCGAUCAGAAAGGUAGCCACCACCCUUAUGUGCAGGAGAAUGUGACACGGCUUCAUCGUGUCAAUAUGAAGAGUUCUGGCAAUCUCCGCAGGAUUUAAAAACCUUCUCAGCACAGAGACAGGGCCGUGCAUGGACGUCCAUGCCUUCUGAGCACCUCUUCCGUCCCUUCCACUGCAGUGGGUGCGUGGAGCAGUCGACCGUUCAGCCCCUCAGCGAGCCCCAACCUCGGACUGUGACGUAGACGCGUGCGAACCCGACUCUCCUCGACGCCUUGCUUCGAUCGAUCAAUUUGGCCUAGGGCGGGGUGACUGAUAGCGCUCCAACAUACCGCCUGUGUGCUGUGGAUUCCCUCAUUCAGCAAAGAUGAUUUUAAGACCAAUGUUUCUUUAAAAAUAGACUGCCUCUGUAUCAUCAUAAAAAUAUACAGAUUGCAUAUCACAACACUAGAUAUACCACAACUUGUAAUAUAGCAGGGGCGUUACUAGACAUAAAACCACUGGGGCACAGGGGCUGCAGGUCCUAUAGUACCGUCCUAGUACAUUGGCUGCAACUGGUCCGCGGACCGGUAUGGGUCUACGGACCACUCGGUACCAGGUUGCAGAUAUGUUAAAAAAAUGUUCUGUACCAGAGCAUAUGUCCCCCAAUUGUAAUAUAUCACCACUGCGGUAAUGUAACAGCAGUCGGAUCAUGUACCGGUCUGUGGCAGAAAAAAGGUUGAGGACCACUGCCCUACUAUAUCCCCUUACACACACACACACACGCACGCACGCACGCACGCACGCACGCACGCACGCACACACACGCACACACGCACACACACAAAACACCACUGCUAAACUCUUACUAAAACUACUACUUGAUAUAUUUAAUGGAUGUACGAAUAGAUAUUUAGUAUUAUAUAUUUCAUCAAGGGACGUUAAAUUGUCCCCUAAUGAGGAUAAGCAGAUGGAUGGAUGGAUGGAUGGAUGGAUGGAUAUUUCAACAAAUACGAACACUUUGAACACUACAACAAAAACAUAACAAAUCACUUUUUGUGUCACGCUACCACACAUCAAACUGCAUUGUGCGUUCCGCACUUCAGGGAGAGCUGUGUGCGUGGUGACCAGGAACGAGAUAGCCAUCAGGAAUUUCAGGAACGUGUUAAUUUUCAGAAAACAGCCAAUGUCAUCACAUCACAUGUCUAUGACAUCACGGCCAUGGCGCAUGACGGCCGGUCGAUGACAACUUUUCAAAGCAUGACUAACUUGUCUGUUUCUUGUUUUGCUGUACCGUCUAAUAUUUCAUUUAAAUCCUUAAAUUCCAGUGUAGGUGGAUUAUGGUCCAUCUCAGAAAUCUAGCGCUGAAAUAAUUUUAAAUUGUGAAUGACGAGACGUAGGAUCUAUGAGGUCUUGUAAUCAGGUCAUUCUGGUUUCAAAUACAGUACUGGCCCAAAUUAGAA